GAAGAGCCACGCCUGUCACUGCUGCACCCUGCAAGUGGGCACUAACCCUCACUUCGUAUGCAAAAGCUAGGCGCUUACAACACACACCCUUCCUCGGGCUGUUGAAAAAUGCAUUUUAAGAGGAAGUAAAUUUGGCUGUUGAUCAGUUUUCACAAAGCAGUUGCUUAGCUAAGUAUAAGUCUCUCUAAAAUGCAGGAGGAGAAAUUCUUCAAUAUACUGAACUAUUAUCCUACCCCAAGAAUAUGACAUAAUUUAAACAGAUAUAACAGCAUGGAACAAAAAUGCAUUUGUAAGUCAAGGAAACAGCAGCUAAAGUGAAGGAAGGACAACUAUCCACUGAGAAUGGGACUUCACUUGAACUCACCAAGGGCAUGAGGCCGUGUCUCCUUUUGUAAAUGCGGCGGAUGUCUUGGAGUGUAAUGUGGACCACAGGUUUCUGUAAAAAGAAGAAAUUGUUCAACUUUAAAAUACAAGAAAGAAACAAGGUUACACACGUACUGUAACUGGCUAAAAGGCCAUGUUUUCUCAUGGCAGAAAAUGUGCUGAAGACCUGAAGGAAGGCCAAGGAUACUAGCACCGAAGUCUGAGAAAGGAUAAAUGCUCCGACUAUGGAUCUUGAAGCUGUGGCACACACUUAUUUUUCUACGAGCUUUUAACCCAGGCAACAGUAACACCAGCCAAUUUAGCACACCACUAGGGAACACCAUUCCAGCCUUGUGCGCUGUCUACUGGAGAAUUCCGCAAGGGUGCUCCACCACCUAGUGGACAGAAUUGUUAUAACAUCAUAUUUGACUCAAAUUGCAUUACAUGAUUUAGUACCAUGGAAUGACAAGCUGGUGAACCUCCAGAGUGUGGCUUUCUAUAGCAGAAAACAUUCUUGAUUCUUUAAGCUGUACUGCCAAGUGGCCCCGAUGAACUGCCGGAGGGGUCAUGACUUCUGCUCUUUCAGUGAACCACACCUUUAAGGGGCCAGUUCUAGGUAAGCACGAAUUCUUUACAAGUUUUAAGGCAGAAAUCUAAAUUCAUCUCUAUUUUCUGGUCUAAUUUCCUUGUGAAAAAGAAGCCUGUUUCCAAGAUCAGAAAAGGAACUCUAUGAAGUCAGAAGGUUGCAGCUCUACAUUUGACUUUCACACUGGCUGAAAGAAGGGCCAGUUCCAAGUGCUUCUUAAAGAAAAAUUCACACUUCUUGAUUGUAUUUGUAAUCAGGAAGAAAUAAGAAGUGCCAUCACAUGUGUGCAUACACAUAAGCAAAUAUGCAAAAAACAUGUAUUUCUUCUUCAUGAUAGUAUAUUCAUGGUAGUUCCUCAUUCAUGGUAGUUCCUUGAUUUCUUCCAAAAAUGCUUCCUAGCAGAAAGGAAUAAGUCUCCAUGGACUCUUGAGUAAAAUCGGUAGGACAAGGUUUCUUAACACAAUACUGAGUGCAAGGGUCCCAGGGUGACUGAACAUAGUGGAAGAGCUGCAAACUCAGGGGACUGUACCGGGAUUACAUAGGGCGCACGUGAAACACCUGAGUGUGGGGGAGGGGCAGUGAUUUCGAGCCUCACAAAAGUGUGGUAAAUGUGAAGCUAC